UAAAGUUGUUGCGGUUAAAAAGCUCGUAGUCGGAGGUGUGUCUCGGACGGUCGGUUCGCCGCUUGUCGGUGCUCAACUGGCCGGUCCGGACGUCCUGCCGGUGGGGCCGCAAGGCUCCUUUAUCCUUCUUUGGUCCUCUUCACCGAGUGCCUUGGUGGGCCGGCACGUUUACUUUGAACAAAUUAGAGUGCUCAAAGCAGGCCGUUGGUCGCCUGAAUACUGUGUGCAUGGAAUAAUGGAAUAGGACCUCGGUUCCAUUUUGUUGGUUUUCAGAACUCGAGGUAAUGAUUAAUAGGGACGGACGGGGGCAUUCGUAUUGCGACGUUAGAGGUGAAAUUCUUGGAUCGUCGCAAGACGAACCGAUGCGAAAGCAUUUGCCAAGAACGUUUUCGUUGAUCAAGAACGAAAGUUAGAGGUUCGAAGGCGAUCAGAUACCGCCCUAGUUCUAACCAUAAACGAUGCCAGCUAGCCAUCCGCCGAAGUUCCUUCUAUGACUCGGCGGGCAGCUUCCGGGAAACCAAAGC
rnacentral:rRNA from 1 species